UGCUUUGUUGAUCACCUAACAACCAAACUACACUUAAAGUGAAAAAAAGUGUGAUAUAUCUUCUCUACUUUUAUUUUAUUUCAAAACAACACUAAAAUAGUUGGGAGAACAAGCAUGGCCUAAACAUUGUGAAUGAGGUGGUGCUCUUUUACCGGGUAAAUCCCAAUGAAACCCUCCUCAGUUUUUGGAUUCGCGCUUUUUCUCUCUUUUUCCGUUACAUCCUCUUCAUCUUUUCCACCAACACCAUUCUCUUCAAACCCUAACCCAAAAGCCACUCCCUCUAACCUGUUAUCUCUUCUCGGCCCCACACCUCACUCCAAACCCGUCAAUCCCGUCAUAGCACGCAAACUCUUCUCAUGCCUCAAAUUUCUCGUCCCGUUUUCCCCAACGGUCACCGCUUCUCCUCGUUAUCGGAAAUUAUUCCGGACCGAACUCAUCGCACCAAGUCGGAGACACGAGAAUGAUAUGAUUUGGUGGCCGCCUGAAUCCGUUUUGGAACUUGCUCGCCUCGCGGUUGAUUCCGGUGGUGACCCUGCCGCCGUUCAUCGUCUUCUUGAUCCAACCGUCAUCCCAGUACCUAGUGUUGAGGGAUCAAACAAAAACCGAUGCCAGCUCACCAGAACUCCAUAUGGAAGACGCUUUAUUUCUGAGGAACUGAACAUGUAUAUGCAGUUUUUGUUUGAACUCAUUGUUGAUCGGGGUCCUUCCGUUGGGUUUGAUGUUGCCUUGAGCAGAUUUGAUCUAUUCCACGGUCAUCUCUUUCUGUCUAGAGACUCUGGAAGACUUGGUAUCUUAUUCCACGCAAGGGAAUACCCUGCAUAUAAUAAACAAGUGUUUCCAUACAAUAUGGGCUAUUGUCAGAUAGGUUCCAAUGUGACAUAUGAUGAUUCAAUGAACUUACGAAAUAUUCUCUGGCUGGCUCCUUUGCCUGACCGUUCCACUAAAUCUUGGGUGGCACCAGGACUUAGGUCAACUUGAUUAUUUUUUGGGCAUAGAGGUUCUACAUCUGCCUAUUGGAUCUCUCCUCUCUCAAAGCAAAUAUAUCAAGGACCUGUUAAGCAAAGCUCAAAUGUCCAAUGCCAAAGGAGUUGCUUCCCUAUGGCCUCUAGUAGUAAACUGUCCAGAGUAGGCUCAGCCAAUGUCAGUGAUCCUACCAUGUUCAGAUCCAUAGUUGGUGCCCUCCAAUAUGCAAUAAUCACCCUGCCAAUAAUCUCUUUUGCAGUGAAUAAAGUGUGUCAAUUCCUGUUCAACCCUCUUGAAGAUCAUUGGAAAGUAGUCAAGAGGAUUUUGAGGUAUCUUCAAGGGACCAUCAAUCAUGGUUUGCUCCUUGCAUCAGCAGGGGUUCUGGUAGUACUGGAUGCUAAUCCUAAUGGAAUAAUCUACAGAGAUCUAAUACCAGAUUAUGUAAAAAUUGCAAGGACUAUAUAUGAAGAUGAUUUUGGAGAGGUUGCUGUUGAUGUGAACAUCUUCAAUGUGGGUUCUCUGAGUCGAAAUUAUCAAAUAUUCAUAUGCUGAUGCUAUGAUCAAUACCAGCUUAUAUAGAUGAAGA